rnacentral:rRNA from 1 species
ACGAACGCUGGCGGCGUGCUUAACACAUGCAAGUCGCACGGAAAGGCCCUGCUUUUGUGGGGUGCUCGAGUGGCGAACGGGUGAGUAACACGUGAGUAACCUGCCCUUGACUUUGGGAUAACUUCAGGAAACUGGGGCUAAUACCGGAUAGGAGCUCCUGCUGCAUGGUGGGGGUUGGAAAGUUUCGGCGGUUGGGGAUGGACUCGCGGCUUAUCAGCUUGUUGGUGGGGUAGUGGCUUACCAAGGCUUUGACGGGUAGCCGGCCUGAGAGGGUGACCGGCCACAUUGGGACUGAGAUACGGCCCAGUCUCCUACGGGAGGCAGCAGUGGGGAAUAUUGCACAAUGGGCGGAAGCCUGAUGCAGCAACGCCGCGUGCGGGAUGACGGCCUUCGGGUUGUAAACCGCUUUCGCCUGUGACGAAGCGUGAGUGACGGUAAUGGGUAAAGAAGCACCGGCUAACUACGUG